rnacentral:rRNA from 1 species
UAAAGAACCAAUAUUUUUGGUGACUCAUAAUAACUUUACGGAUCACAUUAUGUGACAUAUCAUUCAAGUUUCUGACCUAUCAGCUUUAGACGGUAGGGUAUUGGCCUACCGUGGCUAUGACGGGUAACGGGGAAUUAGGGUUCGAUUCCGGAGAGGGAGCCUGAGAAACGGCUACCACAUCUAAGGAAGGCAGCAGGCGCGCAAAUUACCCAAUCCUAAUACAGGGAGGUAGUGACAAGAAAUAACAAUACAGAACCUUACGGUUUUGUAAUUGGAAUGAGUUAAGUAUAAACCCCUUAACAAGUAUCAAUUGGAGGGCAAGUCUGGUGCCAGCAGCCGCGGUAAUUCCAGCUCCAAUAGCGUAUAUUAAAGUUGUUGCAGUUAAAAAGCUCGUAGUUAAUCUUCUGUUAAUUUUUAUAUAUAAUAUUUCGAUAUUUAUAUAAUAUUAACAUAAUUCAUAUUACUUUUUAGUAUAUGAAACUUUACUUUGAGAAAAUUAGAGUGCUUAAAGCAGGCUAUUGCCUUGAAUACUCCAGCAUGGAAUAAUAUUAAGGAUUUUUAUUCUUCUUAUUGGUUCUAGAAUAAAAAUGAUGAUUAAUAGGAACAGUUGGGGGCAUUUGUAUUUAACAGUCAGAGGUGAAAUUCUUAGAUUUGUUAAAGACAAACUACUGCGAAAGCAUUUGCCAAGGAUGUUUUCAUUAAUCAAGAACGAAAGUUAGGGGAUCGAAGACGAUCAGAUACCGUCGUAGUCUUAACCAUAAACUAUG